UACGUAGGGGGCAAGCGUUGUCCGGAAUCACUGGGCGUAAAGCGCGCGCAGGCGGUCAUCUACGUCUGGGGUGAAAGCCCGGAGCUCAACUCCGGGAUUGCCUUGGAUACGGGAUGACUUGAGGAUCGGAGAGGCAAGGGGAAUUCCACGUGUAGCGGUGAAAUGCGUAGAGAUGUGGAGGAACACCUAUGGCGAAGGCGCCUUGCUGGCCGAUUUCUGACGCUGAGGCGCGAAAGCGUGGGGAGCAAACAGG
rnacentral:rRNA from 1 species